ensembl:lincRNA
ACCAAAUGCCCUGGGAUGUGGAGAAUCUUGCACAACCUUUUUUAAUUUUUUGAAAAGGGAAAAUGUAGUAAUUAGUUUUUGAAAAGAUUGUCUUAUUUUUUCAGUAUGCUUUUCAAAUAUUAUUUAAUGUUUAAUAACAUUUGAAAUAAUUGGAAAUGUUUGGAAAGAAAUAAUUUGAAAUACAGAAGAACCUGAAAUAUGACUUAUAUUAUUAAAAUCUAAAGUUUCUCCAUCCAGAAAAUAUUAUUAAUAAAAAUUUGGAGAAUUUGAAAAGGAAUACAGUGCAAAUACAGUGCAACACUAUUUAUUAAAAUCACCUUACAGUACCUGAGAGAGCACAGACAAAGCCAUGGCGGGACUGUGGCAGGGGCAUCUUUCUUGGCAAAGUGAAAUUAUUUUACUCCCAUAAUUUGCUACAUGUAGUUUUAAAUUUUUGAUUUUUCAAAUUUGCUUUGAGUAAAUCUGACUUCUUGGUGGACUGUUGUAGACGUUUUAGACUGUAAAUUUGAAUAACGGUCGCCACAUCAGGAUGCAGACGGCUCCAUCACUCCUCACCCUCUCCUACUGCCACUAACGUCUCACCCUUCCGUAUCUGCACGCGGCAACCUCUAUUCCAUUUUCCAACACGGCGCUGUCUUCCCGUCUUAUAAUGAACUCAAACUGUGUAACCUUUUAUCCUUUCCAUUCGUUGGUAUGCACUUUUCUUCACUGGGUGUCAGUUGAGAAGCAUAAAUGUUAAAUGUCUCGUUUUCAUUGCAAAGAACAUUGCCCACAUUCUAGAAUGAAAAGUCGUGAAUAAAGAUAAACAGCUUUUUCACGUUUUCUUAAUGGACCAUCAGAGCCAGGCUUCCAGCAACAUUGCAUUCUAGAAUUCUUGGAAACUACUCACUCACUGAAGAAUCUGUUUCUGGAACUUCCCCGUCAACACAAGGUGCUACAAUGACCUAGAAAGGAUAUUAUUCUUCAAAACUGAGAACCUGAGGCACAAAAGAGAGAAAACAUCUGAGCUACAUGAAAAGCACCGAUGUGUAUACAGUUGGUGUAAGAAGAUAAGUGGAAUAGCAACAGAUAUUCUAUGGAUUUGCCAUUGUAAAUGUAGACAAAGCCUCAGGCACUUACCUGCAUGAAUCAGAAAACAAAAUCGCAUAUCAAGUUAAUUAUCUUGUGAACUGCACUAAACAACAGGAGAUCUGAGGAGAAAGAGGUCAGUUGGCUGGAGCCAUUAGAAAACAUUUUUGUAAGAAAGAGUAUAGAUUUUGGAAAUAAAGUCUUAAGGUUUGGAACAGAACAG